GCGCCGCUAGCUCAACUGGCAGAGCAGCGGACUCUUAAUCCGCGGGUUCGGGGUUCGAGUCCCUGGCGGCGCAC
rnacentral:tRNA from 18 species